rnacentral:rRNA from 1 species
AGAGUUUGAUCAUGGCUCAGAUUGAACGCUGGCGGCAUGCCUUACACAUGCAAGUCGAACGGCAGCGCGGGGCAACCUGGCGGCGAGUGGCGAACGGGUGAGUAAUAUAUCGGAACGUGCCCUGGAGUGGGGGAUAACGCAGCGAAAGUUGCGCUAAUACCGCAUACGAUCUAAGGAUGAAAGCAGGGGACCGCAAGGCCUUGUGCUCCUGGAGCGGCCGAUAUCUGAUUAGCUAGUUGGUGGGGUAAAGGCCUACCAAGGCAUCGAUCAGUAGCUGGUCUGAGAGGACGACCAGCCACACUGGAACUGAGACACGGUCCAGACUCCUACGGGAGGCAGCAGUGGGGAAUUUUGGACAAUGGGCGCAAGCCUGAUCCAGCAAUGCCGCGUGAGUGAAGAAGGCCUUCGGGUUAUAAAGCUCUUUUGUCAGGGAAGAAACGGUGUGGGCUAAUAUCCCGCACUAAUGACGGUACCUGAAGAAUAAGCACCGGCUAACUACGUGCCAGCAGCCGCGGUAAUACGUAGGGUGCAAGCGUUAAUCGGAAUUACUGGGCGUAAAGCGUGCGCAGGCGGUUUUGUAAGUUUGUCGUGAAAGCCCCGGGCUCAACCUGGGAAUUGCGAUGAAGACUGCAAGGCUUGAAUCUGGCAGAGGGGGGUAGAAUUCCACGUAGCAGUGAAAUGCGUAGAGAUGUGGAGGAACACCGAUGGCGAAGGCAGCCCCCUGGGUCAAGAUUGACGCUCAUGCACGAAAGCGUGGGGAGCAAACAGGAUUAGAUACCCUAGUAGUCC